rnacentral:misc_RNA from 1 species
UUUCCGUAGGUGAACCUGCGGAAGGAUCAUUAUCGUACGAAAUGUGAGGGGCAUGCGAGGGCUGUCGCUGACUCAAAAGUCGUGCACGCCCGAGUGUGUCCUCUUGCAUAAUAAUCCAUCUCACCCUUUGUGCAUCACCGCGUGGGCACCCUUCGGUAUCAUCUCGGAGGGGGGCUCGCGUUAUCACACAAACCCCCCUUUUAAAAGUGUAGAAUGACCACAUUUAUGCAAUCAAUACAACUUUCAACAACGGAUCUCUUGGCUCUCGCAUCGAUGAAAACGCAGC